rnacentral:tRNA from 7 species
GGGGACAUGGCCAAGCGGUAAGGCAGAAGACUGCAAAUCUUCCAUUCCCCGGUUCGAAUCCGGGUGUCCCCU